CGCGCAACAUAAAUAACCUGAAGGGCAUCCGCUCAGCUCGGGAUAAUGGGAGCUAGAUAUCAGCCACAUGGGAAGAGAUCUGCUGCGAUGAUCACAGCGUCACUCUUGGUAAAGAGAAGUGACUGUUUCAGCCGUUAGCCGUCCUAACACCAGGACUGGUUUAUUUCUCCAUGUGUCAUCGCAGGAGGACUGAUAAGACUUGUAGGUCAGUUUUCAGUUGGCGUGGCAGAUGGUGUCUAUCCACCCCUGCUGGCUCAACACCUGGUUCUUCUUGACUGGUUAUUUAAUGACUAAAUGAAGCAAUAAAAAAAAUCAUCAGCCAAAUGCAUUUUGACCCCUCAGUGCUGUUUAGCAUCUUUCACCGACUGGCACACAAGGUUCUCAUUAAGUCUGAGAGAGAAUCACCAAUAUGUAGUCAAAGGUUUCUGAGAACAAACUGUUCAAACUGUGAAUCAGCAUCCUGACCUCUUCCAAGGAACCAGAAAGAAAGAAGGGAAGAGGGAUUGCGUCACCGGAUCGUGGUUCUGAUCCAGAUUGUGGUUGUAUUGAUCUCAGUGGGAGUCGAGUGGAGAAACACACUUCAACCUAACACGUUCAUGUCGUAAUGACUUCUAAUGAGGAAAUGCAUCCAGAACACACUUCAGAGAGCGCGUUCAGCUUGUUUUGUUCGACUUCGGUGACAUUUCGCUGCGUUUCAGGCAACUUGGAUCUUGAAAAAUUGCGAUCACCUGCUAGAAAAUGGAAAGCCACUCCAGGUCAUGAACUCUGGGCAAAUCCAUCUACCACAACAAUCAAGACAGGGAGGGGCGUUUGUCUGACGUCACACAACAAUGGUGGAACCCACGGGGAAAGGGAGUAAGAUGUUGAGAUACGUAAGAAGAAUGUAAGCCAGAAAAAUGCUGCACUUCUGAUUCUGAGUUUCCUGAGUUUUGCAUUUUACAAGAAAAACGUCAGAUGUGAAACAACAACAAAAACAAAGAGAUUAUGUAGAGAGUGAAGGAGAGAGUUAAUUUGGACACAAUGUCGGGGCUCUGGUGUUGUGUUCAAAGACACAUUUUGACACACAUCACAAAAUGAACGUUGGUUCGCUUCACUUUCUAACAAUGCAGCCUUUUACGACUACGAUAAGUCAAAAUGUUUCUUGUGAAGGAUGGAAAUAGCCUCUUAAAAAUGGGUAGUAAUUAAUAAUUUGUGUUGAAACAGGAACAUGUUCAUUAAAUAAAAAUUACAAGUGUGCAAAAAAAAAAAAGCUUCAUCCGGCAUCCUCAGGCCUUCUGCUCUAUAGGGGAUGAGAAAUAUAUAAGUGACAUGUUUUUUCUGAUGACUCAGCACUCAUCGCUGGCGGUAUGUUCAAUGCAACGACUCCAAAGUUUGUUUACCAGCCAGAUGACCUUCAGCAGAAUGAAGUCAAUGGCUCCGAUGCAGUUUAGCUCCUGACUUAUAGACAAUAUAUACAUCUCCGGUCAGCAAACCUCAACGCUGGCGAUUUAUAUUCUGUUGUCAGUAUUCUACACCCGACCAGCAUCCAUCAGUAAUGACUUCAAACUAUCAGUGUUAAAUUAUGCAGAACUCAUGGUAGAUAAUGUGUUGGUUUAUGCUGCUCAUUUGUUCAUGUUUGUCACACCGUCGAAGCAUUCGAAGACAUUUAGGAGCGGAAAAUGAUCCUCCUCGAGUCGGGAGACGGAGUUAGGGCCGAUCAUCCGGCGAGGCAUCUGAAUUCCAUAUUGCUCCGAUCCUCAUUUCAGUCGGCGUGACUCAGAUAAGCAAAAAAACUCAGAGGGGGGGCUGGCGAAAUGUCAGAGAAUGACAAUGAGGCUUUUGAAAUUGCAGCCAGCCAUCUGCAGGAGGAUUCGACCUGCUUUCUUCCCUCCUCGACGGAGGAAUGCCGAGACUAUAGCCGGGAGAUUGACACAUCGCUGACUGUCAUCUGCCUCUCAUCUGCUGUUAAAAGGAAAGGAACAUGUCUGGCUGUCAUGACCAGAAAGGACACUCUCCAGGUUCACCUCUGUCGGUGUAAACACCGUGGCACCUGAAACGAGCUGGGAGCACAUUCGACACAGCUGAGCGUCUCUCGGGCCGGCAGCUCUGCGGGCCAACAGGCCCCCUGCAGAGGGCGAGAAACAUGAGAGGCGAGCGCUGGAAUGAGAAUAGAAGAUUAAUGCGGCGCGUUCUGUAUGUUGUCGGUUGUGUAUGCACGCGCGGUGCUCAUCAAGCCGACAGCAUCAUCACUGAUGCGUUUGGUUGCUCUGUCCGAGCGACAUCAGAGCAGGAAUAUUUUCUUUCUCUCGACGUACACAUUUUCAUAUCUGUGGUGACGACGGUCACCGCUCACUUUCAACUUUUGAUUUCAUUACACGGCAUUUAAAGGUGCAGUAUGGCCAGCAGGGAACCACUAACUGCUGCUAACUGUAGCAGACGUUAGCUUGUAAGCUCAGUUAAGUGUGCAGCUAGCAGUUGGAUUAGCUGACACUGUACAGGCUGGGGGGCUCGGAGCACACGAUUUCUGCCGCCCGGGCCCACGAAAGUGAUGAUCUACACCAUGUGAUGUCGCCAUUUUCUCUCUUUCUUUCUUCUUUUUUGGGCGCACAAACAAUCUUGGGAUAUGUGAGUCCACGAAGGAUGGUAGCAGUGCGUCCUCCAAAAAAUUGGGAAAAGAAGGAGCACUUGUGGGCUGCAUCUGGAGGAGCCUUCAGAAUGGGACGUAAAUGUCCUUCAAAUGCUCCUCUGAAGGGUGCAGACCGUGAAUUGAGACGCAGCAUGUUUCUCAUAGCACCUCCUCGCUCUCUACCUGAGCACACCUGAGUGUAAUCGGUGCUCUGGUGGAGUGGGGGAGGUGAUAAAAGGGCAGAGAGUGCAGGAACAGGUGAAGAAGGAGCAGCACACCUGUGAGGAGGGUUCUCUCCUCACCUUUCUCUCCGUUGUCUUAAACAGGAUCACGAUGUGCAGGGGGAGGAAAUGGGUCUUCAAAGCAGCAGAUCCCCUCUGUUCUCGUGUCCGUCCGCAUGCUAAGUUCCAGCCGUCGUCUGGACGUGUUCCUGGCGGUCUGGUCUCACGUCUGCUCCAGUGUCUGUCUUUGAAAUAUCACGUUUUGCUAUUAUGUGUUUAUUUACUGUAAGUGAUGAACAGUUCUAGAAAAGCUGUAAUUUUGUCUUGGGCAGAUUACAGGAUAGUUAAAGUCUCUUUCCUGUUGAUUUUCUUUUCAUGAUUCCUUUGAAUUAAAUAUAAAGGAAACUAAUUUUGCUCUUUUGCAGGUA